rnacentral:rRNA from 1 species
GACGAACGCCGGCGGCAGGCCUAACACAUGCAAGUCGAACGCACCGCAAGGUGAGUGGCGCACGGGUGAGUAACACGUGGGAAUGUACCCUUUGGUUCGGAAUAACGUUUGGAAACGAACGCUAAUACCGGAUGAGCCCUACGGGGGAAAGAUUUAUCGCCAAAGGAGCAGCCCGCGUCUGAUUAGCUAGUUGGUGGGGUAAAGGCCUACCAAGGCGACGAUCAGUAGCUGGUCUGAGAGGAUGAUCAGCCACACUGGGACUGAGACACGGCCCAGACUCCUACGGGAGGCAGCAGUGGGGAAUAUUGGACAAUGGGCGCAAGCCUGAUCCAGCCAUGCCGCGUGAGUGAUGAAGGCCUUCGGGUUGUAAAGCUCUUUCGCACGCGACGAUGAUGACGGUAGCGUGAGAAGAAGCCCCGGCUAACUUCGUGCCAGCAGCCGCGGUAAUAC